CCUACGGGGGGCUGCAGUUAGGAAUCUUGCGCAAUGGGCGAAAGCCUGACGCAGCAACGCCGCGUGUGGGAUGAAGGCUUUCGGGUUGUAAACCACUUUCAGCAGGAACGAAAUUGACGGUACCUGCAGAAGAAGCUCCGGCCAACUACGUGCCAGCAGCCGCGGUAAUACGUAGGGAGCAAGCGUUGUCCGGAUUUAUUGGGCGUAAAGAGCUCGUAGGCGGUUACGUAAGUCAGGUGUGAAACCUCCAGGCUCAACCUGGAGACGCCACUUGA
rnacentral:rRNA from 1 species